rnacentral:rRNA from 1 species
GAUGAACGCUGGCGGCGUGCCUAAUACAUGCAAGUCGAGCGAACAGACGAGGAGCUUGCUCCUUUGACGUUAGCGGCGGACGGGUGAGUAACACGUAGGUAACCUACCUAUAAGACUGGGAUAACUUCGGGAAACCGGAGCUAAUACCGGAUAAUAUUUCGAACCGCAUGGUUCGAUAGUGAAAGGUGGCUUUGCUAUCACUUAUAGAUGGACCUGCGCCGUAUUAGCUAGUUGGUAAGGUAACGGCUUACCAAGGCAACGAUACGUAGCCGACCUGAGAGGGGGAUCGGCCACACUGGAACUGAGACACGGUCCAGACUCCUACGGGAGGCAGCAGUAGGGAAUCUUCCGCAAUGGGCGAAAGCCUGACGGAGCAACGCCGCGUGAGUGAUGAAGGUCUUCGGAUCGUAAAACUCUGUUAUUAGGGAAGAACAAACGUGUAAGUAACUGUGCACGUCUUGACGGUACCUAAUCAGAAAGCCACGGCUAACUACGUG